UUUUAUUAUCAAAGACACUGAAAGUUUCUAAGAAAGAGAUGGAAAAGAAAGACGGUGAAGGGGAAAGGGUUCUUCAAACUCUUGUUCUUCAAAGUUCUACAAUCAAUUGAAUUGGUAGAGAUCGAGAGGCAUAGCAGUCCAUUGACUUGUCCGCUUCCUUCCUCAACAAAGCAAUCACACUUUCCUUGUUCAAGCUGCUUCGACUUGGCUUCAAUUUCUGAUUCCAUCCGUUCAAAUGAUUCAAUUUCUAAUCUGUUCUAUUUGCGUAGGCCCUUUCGAGGUUCUUCAAAGUCACACGCUGGUUUUGGAUCUGAAAGAUUACCACCAUUUCUAAGAUUUGUUCGCAUUUCGCAUUUGAGCUUAGAAACAGGAGAGGUCAGCCUGUGGUUGAGUUCUUCUUUGCUGCCACUGAAGAGGCAAUCUUUGUCCACGUUAUAAUAUCUGCAAAGUUCGUGAAAUUUUCCUAUCUUUUAUUGGUCAUAAUGGCAUAGCAUUUAUUUGUAUUUGAGGUUGAUAAAUGUUUAUGCUAUAAGUGGUGAAUUAAUUUGCAUUAGUUCCAUUUGUGUUUAGGCUUACCCAGGCACUUUCAAGUGGUGACAUGGAGAAAAUAUUGAAUCAUUAUUCUAAUUAAUUUGGUGACAUUCUUCCAGGUUGGUUUCUGUGUGUCCUAGUUAGUGUUGUCAUGUGAAUUGUUGAACACAUAGUUUUUGGUCGAUAGAAUGUUUUUAUGACUCUGUCGACUAAUUUUUCUGACUAUUUUUUUUUAUUUAGUUUUUGUGUCAUGGCAUAAAAUAAAUACUAAUUAAACAAGAAGUUUCGAUACCCAAAUUAGGAAGGAAGAUUUUUUUUUUGUUUUUUUUUGGUUGUUGAUUUGGAAUUAGAGAAGGUCGUAUCCUGGCCAUGAAGAUGGGCUGCUUCACUAUGAUCUUGCUUGGUCAUAAAAAAGACCACUACCCGUCAACCCCAAUGUUAAUCCUAUCAGUAUGCGGUGCUGGGAUUCAUGUACUUGAAAAGCAUGCCUAAUCGUCACACAAGCACAUAUACGAGACUAGCUGCUCUCAUACUUGGACCAUAUCAUGCACUAAUCUAUUUGAGCUAAUUCUGUAGCAAUGGAAGGGAUUGUUGAAUAAUGCAAUCACUUGGGCCAUACCAUUCUAUGAUAUAAAAUGUCAUGUCGUUGAGGAAUUUGGUAGUCUAUAAAUGAGGACUUGUAUAAUAAGGAUGUUAAGAUAGUUUAGUGGCUAUGC